AAGUCGUAACAAGGUUUCCGUAGGUGAACCUGCGGAAGGAUCAUUAUCGAAUUAUAGGCGAGGGUUGUCGCUGGCCUUUCGAGGCAUGUGCACGCCCGAGCUCUUAAUCCAAACCACACCUGUGAACUCUCUGUAGGGCCCCUCCUGUCGUGGGAGGGCGUCCUAUGUUUAUCAUCAACUUUGUAUGUCUAUAGAAUGUCAAUCGAUACCUUUGCCUUAAAACAGCGUCGGUAAACUUAUACAACUUUCAACAACGGAUCUCUUGGCUCUC
rnacentral:misc_RNA from 1 species